ACAGUACACUUUCCCUGAACACUUUGACCCUGCUUGACUGAGUUCCGAUCCAUAGAUUAGGUUGUCUAGAAUGCCUGUCAUGUCACGAUUUUGAGAAAGACUGUUCAGAUUUGCUAUAUGUGACACAGGUUUCUUUUAUGCAGACAGAAAACAGCUGAUAGGAAAAUGUAGCUUACAUGAUUGUCUACAAACAGCCUGACAAGUCUGUGAGAAUUCUGGCCUGCAAUGACACAGAGACUUGGACUCCAAAUUAGAGAUGUGUGAACAGCACAAUCUUUUUCCCAGUAGCACUGACAUUAAUGAGGAGCUCAGGUGUCAGGGGAAGAGACGUGUGUCAGACGUCAGGAGAUACCACUGUGGAGCCACAGAAGGGGAGCAACAAAAGGGGCUCAGAGAAGAGUGGGUGAGGUGUUUGUUGCAUAUCCUGAGAACGUGUGGCCAUGGGGGGUGUCAUUAGAGCCACUCGUUGGGCUGGUGGGUGGCCAGCAUGUGUGGAGAUCCGGACGCCUGUAAAUGUCACAGAAGAAAGUCCUACUGUGCAUAGAACUCAUUUCCUGUUAACAGCCAGCUCUCUCUAGUUCUGCAUUAUUGAUAAAGGGCAUACGUAUGCUUGCAAACACAAACACACACACUCUUAUGCAAACAAUACCAAACUAUCUUGACAAGUAAUUCACUAAGAACAACAACAACUCUGGCAAACUGUUAGAUCUGGAAACUUCUUAAUAAUUUAGAGCCUUAAGAAAAGAGUUCUGGUAAAUAAAAUUUUGAUUAGCAAGUCAAGCCUUUUUAUUUGAGGGUCAAUUUUUUUUUUUCUUUUUUUUUUUUUUGAGAAAUACACCAUGUAGUUGUUAUACCUAUCAAUCAUCUUCAAACAGCUUAAGAUACACAAAACACUUAACAACAUGAACAAUAGUCAGUAUACGGGUUUGUAAACUGUCAGAGUAGCAUGCAGUAGAUGGUGAACUGAGUUUUCUGUGUAAACAUGCACUAAACAGACACAUUUGACUGCAGCACUUAUGUCUUUUGCGUGGGGACAGGAUGUUCUAAAAAUGUGGCACUAAAGUUAAAAUAAUUUCAGCAUUUAAAAAACAAAGGUCUCUAGGCCUUGCAUGCCUAUGCCUUGCCUUUUAAAUACAAAUACGUGUUCUGUGUGAACAGCCCAAUGGUCUCUUCGAUAAAACACAAAAGUUUUGCAUUUGUCUGCAACAGACGGGCUGAAUGAAAACGCUAAUUCUCUCUCUGACAGUGGUGCUCAUAGAAAGCAGAAAUACAGUAGUGUACAAGGGGUAGCAUGUGCAAAUUUUUGUUUCAGACACCCACAUGUUAGAGGAAGAGAAGUUAAACAUUAGUUAUAUGUUUUCAUACAGCCAUUCAAAUUUUUUAUUCACUGUGGUGUUUAGGAAAUAACACCAAAUGUAAAAGUACAGAGACGAGAUUCUUCCUUUCCUGUUCACUAUUGCUUGGCAAAAUAUUCUCUUCAUAAGCACCACCAAAUUGCAGUUUUAAGUAACAGCAGCAAAAUUUGGUUGAGUCGUACAACUCAGAAAUCGGCUCAAAAUUGGAUGGAAAUUGCAGUGUAUGCUCAACUUUAACUUUAAGUUUAAGUUUAGUUAAUUCAUUUACAUAUGGCCCACAUACACUCUGAAGGUGAAAGAGAUGCACAUUAAAUCAUAACCCAAGGUUAUCCAUUCAUUCACUCAAAAAAAUAAAAUAAAAUAAAAAAUAAAUAAAUAAAAUAUAUCUACCAAUUCAAAUCACAAACUGUCACUUUAAGGGGCCACUGAAUUGAGGUCAUGUCUCAAUUACUUUCUAGUGAGGAAAAAAUAAUCCAAAUUGAUUUGAUACUAUCUUAUCUGUUUAGACAAAGCGACAAGUCUGUUGUCGCCUAAAUAUCUAUCAG